rnacentral:rRNA from 1 species
GACGAACGCUGGCGGCGUGCUUAACACAUGCAAGUCGAACGGUGAGGCGCUUUCCUUUUUGGUUGGUGUGGAUGAGUGGCGAACGGGUGAGUAACACGUGAGUAACCUGCCCCCUUCUUCUGGAUAACCGCAUGAAAGUGUGGCUAAUACGGGAUAUUCUGCGCCUGCCGCAUGGUGGGUGUGGGAAAGAUUGUGCCUUUGGGUGUUUUCGGUGGGGGAUGGGCUCGCGGCCUAUCAGCUUGUUGGUGGGGUGAUGGCCUACCAAGGCGGUGACGGGUAGCCGGCCUGAGAGGGUGGACGGUCACACUGGGACUGAGACACGGCCCAGACUCCUACGGGAGGCAGCAGUGGGGAAUAUUGCACAAUGGGCGCAAGCCUGAUGCAGCGACGCCGCGUGAGGGAUGGAGGCCUUCGGGUUGUGAACCUCUUUCGCCAGUGAAGCAGGCCUGCUCCUUGUGGGUGGGUUGACGGUAGCUGGAUAAGAAGCGCCGGCUAACUACGUG